CCCCAAAAGACACGUGCAUUCAAAUGCAUGCACACGCAAGAGGAAAGAAGGAAGAUUGCCAUGGUAUGACAUGGCCCCUUGCUAGUAAGUCAAGAAGGGAGGAGAUUAUGGAAGACAAACAAAUUAAUUAAGGAGAAAGAGUUAAAAUGUAUACUCUACAAAAUUGUUGUCACCCAAUUCAAGGUAAAAAUUUAUCUGGCAAAUCUAUGGAUUGCUGUAGCCUGAACUGAUACAGCAACUCAUGACGUCUGAGCAAAGGCAGACCUAGAAGCUGACAAUGUCAAAGGAGAGGAACUACAACUGCAAGAAAUAUCAAAACAAAAAAGUAUUUUAUGCUACAUAAAAAGCCAAAAGGAGUUGAAAAAAACAUUGCAACAGUUCCCACUGAAAACGGACUGCCAGUCAUCAGGAGGUAUCUUUCCUGUCUUCUGUUCUUCUUAGGCAUACACCCCACCCCCCAU